AGGGUGUGCUCAGAGCAGGAGGUCUGAAGAAUGGCUUCUCUGUUUACAACACACCCAACAGGAAUCUGGGGACAUUGUGAUGAGGGGCACAACAUUUGUGUCCUCUCUAUGAGUAAAUGCCCUACAUAU
rnacentral:snoRNA from 1 species